rnacentral:rRNA from 1 species
GAUGAACGCUGGCGGCGUGCCUAAUACAUGCAAGUCGUGCGGGAUCUUCGGAUCCAGCGGCGAACGGGUGAGUAACACGUGGGCAACCUGCCCCUAAGACUGGGAUAACUUCGAGAAAUC